GACGAACGCUGGCGGCGUGCUUAACACAUGCAAGUCGAACGGAAAGGCCCUGCUUUUGUGGGGUGCUCGAGUGGCGAACGGGUGAGUAACACGGGAGUAACCUGCCCUUGACUUUGGGAUAACUUCAGGAAACUGGGGCUAAUACCGGAUAGGAGCUCCUGCUGCAUGGUGGGGGCUGGAAAGUUUCGGCGGUUGGGGAUGGACUCGCGGCUUAUCAGCUUGUUGGUGGGGUAGUGGCUUACCAAGGCUUUGACGGGUAGCCGGCCUGAGAGGGUGACCGGCCACAUUGGGACUGAGAUACGGCCCAGACUCCUACGGGAGGCAGCAGUGGGGAAUAUUGCACAAUGGGCGGAAGCCUGAUGCAGCAACGCCGCGUGCGGGAUGACGGCCUUCGGGUUGUAAACCGCUUUCGCCUGUGACGAAGCGUGAGUGACGGUAAUGGGUAAAGAAGCACCGGCUAACUACGUG
rnacentral:rRNA from 1 species